CCAAGCAACCUGAUGUACAAAUUGAAGAGCACAGAGGAUGAGAUAGAGUCCAGUAGGUUUCCACAGGUGACAGCAAUUAGGCUGGCAGAGAAAUGGAGUGGAAGGAAGAUUUCUGCAGAGCAGCUGUCAGCGCCAUUCGUUUGCCAGGGACUAGAAUCAUGUAAUUCACAACUUCGACAGGACAAAGCGCUAUGGCAUCUGGCCAGCCAACAUGGAACUGGGCUUCAUAACAGAAAAUCAGCUCCUGGGAAAGGAGGAGUCGUAGCAGCUGAGAAAAUGAACAGCUGCAUCAGGGGAAGAACAGCAAUAAGAAGACAAUUCACAGGCUCUGGAUGAUAGACACCAAAUUAAUCAAAGGGGACAGGUGGGGAACAGCACUCCAUGUAUCACUGAGAUCUUGGCUGUGCCACCGCGGAAGAGAGAGGAUAGCAAGACAUCUUCAUUUUGACUGCUCAUGAGCCAUGAGAGAGAUGUAGCGUGUAUGUGCGUGUGUGUGUGCACACACGCACAUGCACUUACACACAAAUAAACAAGGACACAAAUAAUCAUCCUGUUAGACAAGCCUCAUCUACUGCCUUUUACUUGCUGCCCCACGCUCCUCAAGAUUUGGCGCAGGCAUGAGUACGCAACGAUCAAGGCACUGUGGCCCAGGGGAUGGGGGGAAAUGGACUGGGACCCCCCCACCAAGUCUGAGGGGUCAAGCUUUUGCUGAGUGAACUCAGGCGAGUCACUUAGCAUCCCUGUGCCGCAGUCUGCCUAUCUAUAAAAUGGGGGUGAUACUGACCCUCCUUUGUAAAGUGCUUUGAGAUCUUGGGAAGAAAAGCACUUGGCUAAGAGCCAGGUAUUACCAUAACUGUUUCCUUGAUGGAGGCAUUUUUAGCCUGCUGUUCAUUUUGGGAAGGUACUAUAGACUUUGGAAGGGGUGGGGGAAUCCUCAACACUGCUCCAUUGAUGUCAGUGGAGCUAUCCUGCUUUACAUCAGCCGAGGAUCUGACCUGGGGUCUAAUACAGACAUUUUCAACAGCCUGUUUCACAUACAUAAGUUUAGCCAUGGGGACUUUACAGAAAAAAAAAGAUGUUGCCUGCUAAAAACUGGCUCUGGCUUCCUGAGCUGAGAAAGCCGCUCUUGCCAAGGAUGUUAUCCUGAAGCCCCCAAGUGAAAAC